GUGACCUGCGGGGGGCAGCAGUGAGGAAUAUUGGUCAAUGGCCGAGAGGCUGAACCAGCCAAGUCGCGUGAGGGAAGACGGCCCUACGGGUUGUAAACCUCUUUUGUCGGGGAGCAAAGCGAGUCACGUGUGACUCAUUGAGAGUACCCGAAGAAAAAGCAUCGGCUAACUACGUGCCAGCAGCCGCGGUAAUACGUAGGGGGCAAGCGUUAUCCGGAUUUACUGGGUGUAAAGGGAGCGUAGACGGCAGCGCAAGUCUGGAGUGAAAUGCCGGGGCCCAACCCCGGAACUGCUUUGGAAACUGU
rnacentral:rRNA from 1 species